AUUGAACGCUGGCGGCAGGCCUAACACAUGCAAGUCGAGCGGAUGAAGGGAGCUUGCUCCUGGAUUCAGCGGCGGACGGGUGAGUAAUGCCUAGGAAUCUGCCUGGUAGUGGGGGAUAGCGUCCGGAAACGGGCGCUAAUACCGCAUACGUCCUGAGGGAGAAAGUGGGGGAUCUUCGGACCUCACGCUAUCAGAUGAGCCUAGGUCGGAUUAGCUAGUUGGUGGGGUAAAGGCCUACCAAGGCGACGAUCCGUAACUGGUCUGAGAGGAUGAUCAGUCACACUGGAACUGAGACACGGUCCAGACUCCUACGGGGGGCAGCAGUGGGGAAUAUUGGACAAUGGGCGAAAGCCUGAUCCAGCCAUGCCGCGUGUGUGAAGAAGGUCUUCGGAUUGUAAAGCACUUUAAGUUGGGAGGAAGGGCAGUAAGUUAAUACCUUGCUGUUUUGACGUUACCAACAGAAUAAGCACCGGCUAACUUCGUG
rnacentral:rRNA from 1 species